rnacentral:rRNA from 1 species
UACAGAGGUGGCAAGCGUUGUUCGGAAUUACUGGGCGUAAAGCGCGUGUAGGCGGCUCUUCAAGUCAGGCGUGAAAGCCCCGGGCUCAACUCGGGAACUGCGCUUGAUACUGUCGAGCUAGAGUGUGGAAGGGGCGAUUGGAAUUCCGUGUGUAGCGGUGAAAUGCGUAGAUAUACGGAGGAACACCAGAGGCGAAGGCGGAUCGCUGGGCCAACACUGACGCUGAGACGCGAAAGCUAGGGGUAGCAAAACAGG